rnacentral:rRNA from 1 species
AUGUUGAGGGAAAAUCAGUUAAGUGCUAAACUCUCCAAGUGUGUGUUUGCUGUGCAACAAGUGGAAUAUCUUGGUCAUGUACUAUCAGCUGAAGCAGUAGCCACUUAUCCCAAAAAGAUACAAGCUAUUGCUGAUUGGCCCUUUCCUGAUAAUGUAACUCAACUAAGAAGUUUCCCAGGAUUAGCAGGUUAUUACAGAAGAUUCAUCAUGGGAUAUGGCAUUAUUUGUAGACCCUUGCAUGAUCUUCUGAAGAAAGGACAGUUUAAACAGACAAGAACUGAUGCUUCUGGUAAAGGUAUUGGAGCAGUAUUGAUGCAACAGGGGAGACCUCUAGCAUACUAUAGUUCAGCACUAUGCCCAAGAAAUGCAUCUCUGUCUACAUAUGAAAAAGAAGCUUUAGCCAUUUUGGAAGCUUUUUAA